GUUUAACAAAUUUCAAAGAGGCUUUUUGGAGCCUAACUGAAACUUUCUCCUUAAUGUGAUCCCUGGGAUAGGAUUCUGGCCAUGAGAUGACUAAGAAACAAAGGUGAAUGUCUGGAUCUCUGAAUUUGGGAAGAUGCCUCCCAGCUGGAGCUGGGACUGAGAAGUCACCUGCAGAAUGUUGAGACUCACUCUCCUUCCAUCCCCAUAAGAAGAAAAAAAAAUCUUCUGUGGUUAAAUUUCAUGAGCCAUUUAACUCUCCAGCAGCCAUUUGGUCUUUGCUUUUCUGUUUUGUGGAUGAAUUUAUUUUAUGUGCUAUUUCCCCCUUAAAUUUUAAGGAUAUGUAUCUUCAUGAAAAGAACAAAGGAAGAAAAACAACUUGUAAAUUAUCACAAGAAAAACCCCUGCUAAAAGCAAUAAGUUUGCUGACAGAUGGCAGAAUCAGUUGAAAAGCGAGUACCAUAUUUACUAAGUCUAACCCAUUUAGUAAGCCAAAAAAGUGUUAUCUAAUUCUAUCCCCUGUGUAUGCA
rnacentral:lncRNA from 10 species